rnacentral:SRP_RNA from 1 species
GAGCAAGUCCUAUACAACAUUCGGUUGCCCAACCAUGUCAGGUCCGGAAGGAAGCAGCAUCCGGCAAUUUGAAUGUGUGAUAUAGUAAGCUUGCUCUCU